GUCUAAGCAGCGUUGAGAUGUGUGGGAAAGUUCCCUUUUUAAUUCAAGAUUUUGGUCUUGUUAGGGGUACCAUAUAUUUUCUCAAUUUGGGACCAUAUACUCUGUGCAGUAUCGGAAUACUGCACACUAUCAGCAAUCUGAGGGGACAGGGAAGAGGUCAACCAGGAAAUGACCAUGUUAUUACAUCUAUCCCACAACCUCUGUUGAGCCACAUUAGUGGUAGGUCGAGGACAUGAGCCGAUUUUUAGCAGAUAAUGCAACAAUCAUUUUUCUCCUCCAACCCCCAUAACCACUACCCGAGAAGGGAGUGAGGACAAGAGAUACCCCAGAGACAUCAGAGAAAUAUACAAAGAGGGGGCUGGUAUAGUCUACCGAGGAGGAGGUACCAGCAGUGGUAUUAGAAGCCAUGAUUAACGAACCAGCUUGAAAGAAAAACAAUUUCGACAAGCAAAAUAUAACGGAACCAGAUACUCACAUACGGAACCAGAUAGUCACACACAAAGCAUACAAUACCCAAAAUAAGGACAGAGUUACCCUCCUUCUUCGCGAUCGGACAAGAUCGGCCUUCAAUCAACAGAGAAAAUCCAAGGUUCAACACCGGAAACCCUAGGUUCUGAAGCUCACCUGAGUAAGGUCAUAGACGCCGGAAAGCUACCCAAAGCGUCCAUCAAGCAAAGAAAAAUUCAUCGGAUAACACCAAAACUCUAGGUCCGAAAGUCAGAAAACCUUAGAAUUUGAAGAACUCGUCGGAACAAAAUCAGAGAUGUCUGAAAAUCACCCAAAACAUCUACUGAUACAGGAUCAGAGCCUCAAACAGUCAGAAAAGUCCCGAUUAGUCGAUUAACAGUCAUCGAAAAAAAAAAUAUACGAACAAUAUUUUUCUCAGAUAACUGAAGAAAACCUUCAGCGAAAGCUUCAUCAAGUAUCGAUAACACGUAACAUAGAAGGAUCGGAAGAUUUUCCCGCUCUGAUACCAUGAAAACAUGAAGAUUUGAAGAUGAAAAUCAGAGAAGAUGAAGAUGAACAGGAAGCGUUACAGAGAGAGAAUGGGAAGCUUCUUGAGAAAGCCAGAAGAU
rnacentral:lncRNA from 1 species